rnacentral:rRNA from 1 species
CUAUUGAGAGUCGCAGAUACCAGGUGGCUGCAACUGUUUAUUAAAAACACAGCACUGUGCAAAAUCGUAAGAUGACGUAUACGGUGUGACGCCUGCCCGGUGCCGGAAGGUUAAUUGAUGGGGUUAGACUUCGGUCGAAGCUCUUGAUCGAAGCCCCGGUAAACGGCGGCCGUAACUAUAACGGUCCUAAGGUAGCGAAAUUCCUUGUCGGGUAAGUUCCGACCUGCACGAAUGGCGUAAUGAUGGCCACGCUGUCUCCACCCGAGACUCAGUGAAAUUGAAAUCGCUGUGAAGAUGCAGUGUACCCGCGGCUAGACGGAAAGACCCCGUGAACCUUUACUACAGCUUGGCACUGAACAUUGACCCUACAUGUGUAGGAUAGGUGGGAGGCUUUGAAGCACGUACGCCAGUAUGUGUGGAGCCGUCCUUGAAAUACCACCCUUGUAGUGUUGAUGUUCUAACGUCGACCCCUUAUCGGGGUUGCGGACAGUGCCUGGUGGGUAGUUUGACUGGGGCGGUCUCCUCCCAAAGAGUAACGGAGGAGCACGAAGGUGGGCUAAUCACGGUUGGACAUCGUGAGGUUAGUGCAAUGGCAUAAGCCCGCUUGACUGCGAGAAUGACAAUUCGAGCAGGUGCGAAAGCAGGUCAUAGUGAUCCGGUGGUUCUGAAUGGAAGGGCCAUCGCUCAACGGAUAAAAGGUACUCCGGGGAUAACAGGCUGAUACCGCCCAAGAGUUCAUAUCGACGGCGGUGUUUGGCACCUCGAUGUCGGCUCAUCACAUCCUGGGGCUGAAGUCGGUCCCAAGGGUAUGGCUGUUCGCCAUUUAAAGUGGUACGCGAGCUGGGUUUAGAACGUCGUGAGACAGUUCGGUCCCUAUCUGCCGUGGGCGUUGGAAGAUUGAAGGGGGCUGCUCCUAGUACGAGAGGACCGGAGUGGACGAACCUCUGGUGUUCGGGUUGUGUCGCCAGACGCAUUGCCCGGUAGCUAAGUUCGGAAUCGAUAACCGCUGAAAGCAUCUAAGCGGGAAGCGAGCCCUGAGAUGAGUCUUCCCUGAUACUUUAAGUAUCCUAAAGGGUUGUCGGAGACUACGACGUUGAUAGGUCAGGUGUGUAAGUGCUGUGAGGCAUUGAGCUAACUGAUACUAAUUGCCCGUGAGGCUUAACCAU